rnacentral:rRNA from 1 species
CGUAGGGUGCAAGCGUUGUCCGGAAUUAUUGGGCGUAAAGAGCUCGUAGGCGGCUUGUCGCGUCUGCUGUGAAACUCAGGGCUCAACCCUGAGCUGGCAGUGGGUACGGGCAGGCUAGAGUGCAGUAGGGGAGACUGGAAUUCCUGGUGUAGCGGUGAAAUGCGCAGAUAUCAGGAGGAACACCGGUGGCGAAGGCGGGUCUCUGGGCUGUUACUGACGCUGAGGAGCGAAAGCGUGGGAGCGAACAGGAUU